CUGAAUCCAUAGGUUAAUGAGGCGAACCGGGGGAACUGAAACAUCUAAGUACCCCGAGGAAAAGAAAUCAACCGAGAUUCCCCCAGUAGCGGCGAGCGAACGGGGAGGAGCCCAGAGCCUGAAUCAGCAUGUGUGUUAGUGGAAGCGUCUGGAAAGGCGCGCGAUACAGGGUGACAGCCCCGUACACAAAAGCGCAUGUGCUGUGAGCUCGAUGAGUAGGGCGGGACACGUGGUAUCCUGUCUGAAUAUGGGGGGACCAUCCUCCAAGGCUAAAUACUCCUGACUGACCGAUAGUGAACCAGUACCGUGAGGGAAAGGCGAAAAGAACCCCGGCGAGGGGAGUGAAAAAGAACCUGAAACCGUGUACGUACAAGCAGUGGGAGCACCCUUUGGGGUGUGACUGCGUACCUUUUGUAUAAUGGGUCAGCGACUUAUAUUCUGUAGCAAGGUUAACCGAAUAGGGGAGC
rnacentral:rRNA from 1 species